rnacentral:rRNA from 1 species
UACGAAGGGGGCGAGCGUUUGUUCGGAUUUACUGGGCGUAAAGGGCGCGCAGGCGGCGCAUUUUGUCAGGCGUGGAAGCCCCGGGCUUAACCUGGGAACUGCGUUUGAUACGGAUGGGCUAGAGUUCGGGAGAGGAGAGUGGAAUUCCCAGUGUAGAGGUGAAAUUCGUAGAUAUCAAGCAGAACACCUGCGGCGAAGGCGGACCUUCUCGGACGAGUGACUGACGCUGAGACGCGAAAGCGUGGGGAGCAAACAGG